CUUUGAUCCUGGCUCAGGAUGAACGCUAGCGACAGGCCUAACACAUGCAAGUCGAGGGGCAGCGAAGAGGUAGCAAUACCUUUGCCGGCGACCGGCGCACGGGUGAGUAACACGUAUGCAAUCCACCUGUAACAGGGGGAUAACCCGGAGAAAUCCGGACUAAUACCCCAUAAUAUGGGCGCUCCGCAUGGAGAGCCCAUUAAAGAGAGCAAUUUUGGUUACAGACGAGCAUGCGCUCCAUUAGCCAGUUGGCAGGGUAACGGCCCACCAAAGCGACGAUGGAUAGGGGUUCUGAGAGGAAGGUCCCCCACAUUGGAACUGAGACACGGUCCAAACUCCUACGGGAGGCAGCAGUGAGGAAUAUUGGUCAAUGGUCGGCAGACUGAACCAGCCAAGUCGCGUGAGGGAAGACGGCCCUACGGGUUGUAAACCUCUUUUGUCGGAGAGUAAAGUACGCUACGUGUAGCGUAUUGCAAGUAUCCGAAGAAAAAGCAUCGGCUAACUCCGUGCCAGCAGCCGCGGUAAUACGGAGGAUGCGAGCGUUAUCCGGAUUUAUUGGGUUUAAAGGGUGCGUAGGCGGCACGCCAAGUCAGCGGUGAAAUUUCCGGGCUCAACCCGGAGUGUGCCGUUGAAACUGGCGAGCUAGAGUACACAAGAGGCAGGCGGAAUGCGUGGUGUAGCGGUGAAAUGCAUAGAUAUCACGCAGAACCCCGAUUGCGAAGGCAGCCUGCUAGGGUGAAACAGACGCUGAGGCACGGAAGCGUGGGUAUCGAACAGGAUUAGAUACCCUGGUAGUCCACGCAGUAAACGAUGGAUACUAACUGUUUGCGAUACAAUGUAAGCGGUACAGCGAAAGCGUUAAGUAUUCCACCUGGGGAGUACGCCGGCAACGGUGCAACUCAAAGGAAUUGACGGA
rnacentral:rRNA from 1 species